rnacentral:lncRNA from 1 species
UCCCUCUGGCCACACCAAAGAGCAUUUAACAUGCAUCAUGGUCUCAGGUCAAGAGUAUAUUCAAUAGUUGACAGUGAUGUGGCCUCUAGCUUUCCAGAAGAGAGGAAGUCACUGUCCAUCAUACAGUGCUUUAAUUUGAGAGGCUGAACUGAUGUCUGUGGAGAAAAGAACACGAAGGAAUAAUGUAAUAUGAAACUCCCUAACAUGAUACAUAUACAAAGACUAUUGAGAAAUCAAUGUGGAAAAUGCAAAACUAAGGGAGAAAGCAUUUUGAACCACUCAUCUAAGAAUAUGGUCAGUAUUAAAAAGACAAGAAUAUCAGAAAAAUCUCCCAAGUUAUGUUCAUAGGCUUAGCAGAAUAAAGGUAAGGCUUACUAGUUAAA